CUAUGGGGCUGCCCCAUAGAUUGUUCCGCCCCAUAGAUUCUAUGGGGCUGCCCCAUAGAUCCAUUCACCCCAUAGAUUCUAUGGGGCUGCCCCAUAGAUUGUUCUGCCCCAUAGAAUCUAUGGGGCUGCCCCAUAGAUUGUUCCGCCCCAUAGAUUCUAUGGGGCUGCCCCAUAGAUUGUUCCGCCCCAUAGAUUCUAUGGGGCUGCCCCAUAGAUCUGUGCGCCCCAUAGAUUCCAUGGGGCUGCCCCAUAGAUUCACCCACCCCAUAGAUUCUGUGGGGCUGCCCCAUAGAUUUCAGUACCCCAUAGAUUCUAUGGGGCUGCCCCAUAGAUU